CCCCCCCCCCCCCAAAAUCAGACCCCCACCACCGGGAGCUGUACCUGAACAACAGCGACUUCCUGGCGCUGCUCAACGACGAGCGGCUGCACCCCAACGCCUCCGACUGGAAGCAGAACCUGCUGCGCAUCGAGCGCCUGGUGCUCAUCGGGGGCCCCGAUGACGGCGUCAUCACCCCCUGGCAGUCCAGCCUUUUUGGGUUCUACGACGCCAACGAGACCGUGCGGGACAUGGAGGCACAGCCGGUGAGGGGGGG